ACUCCUACGGGAGGCAGCAGUGGGGAAUAUUGCACAAUGGGCGCAAGCCUGAUGCAGCCAUGCCGCGUGUGUGAAGAAGGCCUUCGGGUUGUAAAGCACUUUCAGUCGUGAGGAAGGUAGUGUAGUUAAUAGCUGCAUUAUUUGACGUUAGCGACAGAAGAAGCACCGGCUAACUCCGUGCCAGCAGCCGCGGUAAUACGGAGGGUGCGAGCGUUAAUCGGAAUUACUGGGCGUAAAGCGCAUGCAGGUGGUUGUUAAGUCAGAUGUGAAAGCCCGGGGCUCAACCUCGGAAUAGCAUUUGAAACUGGCAGACUAGAGUACUGUAGAGGGGGUAGAAUUUCAGGUGUAGCGGUG
rnacentral:rRNA from 1 species